CUUCACCUGUCAGCUUCACCUUCAAUCUCUCCUUUCUAGGGAGAUUCUAUAUAUAAGACUCUGGUCUGGACUCAGGACGUCUUUUCUAUUUGUCUAGGACUUGUUGGUAUUUGCACUCUGAAUAUAUUCUAGCUGGUCUCGACUGCGUUAAGCGAUAUAUGUUUUUUGAGGUAACUUCCACCUUGAAAACAAUCAUAAAAUCAAAAUCAUAAAAUUACCUUUUUAUGAAUUAACUUUUAAAAGUGUGCUAAAAAAUAUAUAUACUUCCACACUUUUGUUGUCAAGUUCUACAGAGAAAUGUUCGUACAUGUUCAUAUCCUACUAACUAGAAUAUUGUGAGUUUCAAAGUUUAAUUUUUUUUUAAAUAUAGAUGAUGAUAUAUAAAAAAUAUAAUGUAAAAAAAUGCUAAAUGGUGAAAAGUCAUUCAUUUUCUGUCCAGCUAAUUCUUUUACAUUUUGUUUUAUUGUUUCUGAGUAAUCAUGCCAAUGAUGCAAAUUCCACAGGGACUGAGGAGAAAGAGAGAGCGGGGGAGAAAACAAGGAGGGAGCUGAGCAAAAGAGGGACGGGGAGGAAAAAGAAAGCUAGGAACAGCAUGUGUUGGAUCUCCCCAGCUGAUAUGUGGUGAAAAGCUGAGGCAUUAGCACAUCAACCAGUUCCAAGCUUUGUGAUGCUCAAGAUCUUUAUCCUUCAGACUAUUGGAAAUAAUUAUAACUAAAGCAGUGGCCUCAAGAAUACAUAAAGCCGCUAAUUGUCGAUAGAUGGUGUGAUUUCUGUGGUUCUGAGAUUCUCUUUCAGAAAGACCUCUUUGUGUCCUUGCACAGCACACCUAUCGGAGACAUGCUCCUUCAAAGCCUGCCUUUCGCUUUACGUCAUUUUUGAGUUUAAAUGCUAAGACAAGGUGUUAGGGUCAGCGGGGGGACUGUGAGAUCUCAAGGGCUACAUGUUCAAACGGCGUUGCAUGUUCAAGACUCAUUAUUUAUCUGAGCAUUUUUCCAGUGAACUCUGUGCUCCCUGUGUGUCAUGUGGCGCUACUGUGUGUGGCUGUACAGAAAUAGUGUACAUCUGACUGCUUCACCACACAGAUCAUUGAGCGUAUUAGUGUAUUGUGCAAUGUACUGUUGGGGCCGAUUACUGUAUUGUAUGUGAGUCAAGUAUUUGUAUUUGAUGGGAAAUGCAGGUAUUUUAAUCCAGUCGUAGUCAUUUUAUUCUUGUCUAUCGGACGCAAAGAGGAUGUAGUGUGACCUUUAUUAAAGAGUUGUUUCACAUUUCCUACUGAUAGUCAUCUUGCUUGGGUUUCUUUUUACUUGAACUUUAAUACCCUAACCUUUAAGGACGUUAUUUUACCCAAACCAUGAUCGUUCCUUGAACCUAAAGUUGUUUUUGUGCCAAAUCUAAGCAAGAUGCCCAUCGCUUAUAUGUCUUGUGCUUACAUGGCAAGGACAAACACCGUAUUUUCUCGUCUAUGGCACAGAUGCUCUGAGGACAGGGUUGGAUGAAAUCAUUACUCAUAGAAAAGAACCAACCACGUAAACAUUUAAAACAACUUUUGUUGAAACACAACUGAAUUAAUACUGUUAAAAAAACAGGUAAAAAAAAAAAAGAAGAGAAUAAUUCCAAAAGCAAUUAACAGUUUAUGUGAUUAUGUGAUAGCUCAUGCUUGAAUAGCACACUGGCAUGUUUCUCACCUACAACUAAAGGUAAGCAGUGUAUUUUCGUAACUUUUAAAGAUGUUUGCGAGACUCAAGUGUCCGUAAUUAUUGGAAUUAAAUUAUCUGCACAAAUGGAUGCGCUUGACAAAAAGAAUUUUCAGUGUGAACAAGGAAAAAUGAGAAAAUCGAUGGAGAUUGUGGCCCUGCUUUUUAAAUUGUCUUGUUGCAUAAGGGCACUUA
rnacentral:lncRNA from 1 species